rnacentral:rRNA from 1 species
GACGAACGCUGGCGGCGCGCCUAACACAUGCAAGUCGAGCGGAGAUAUAUGAAGAGUAAUCCGAAUAUAUCUUAGCGGCGGACGGGUGAGUAACGCGUGAGUGACCUGCCUCUUACAGGGGAAUAACGUGCCGAAAGGCACACUAAUACCGCAUAAGACCACGAAGUCGCAUGGUUUUGAGGUCAAAGGAGCAAUCCGGUAAGAGAUGGGCUCGCGUCCGAUUAGAUAGUUGGUGAGGUAACGGCCCACCAAGUCGACGAUGCGUAGCCGACCUGAGAGGGUGAUCGGCCACAUUGGGACUGAGACACGGCCCAAACUCCUACGGGAGGCAGCAGUGGGGAAUCUUCCGCAAUGGACGAAAGUCUGACGGAGCAACGCCGCGUGAGUGAAGAAGGUUUUC